rnacentral:rRNA from 1 species
UGGGGAAUUUUGGACAAUGGGCGAAAGCCUGAUCCAGCAAUGCCGCGUGUGUGAAGAAGGCCUUCGGGUUGUAAAGCACUUUUGUCCGGAAAGAAAUCCUUGGCUCUAAUACAGUCGGGGGAUGACGGUACCGGAAGAAUAAGCACCGGCUAACUACGUGCCAGCAGCCGCGGUAAUACGUAGGGUGCAAGCGUUAAUCGGAAUUACUGGGCGUAAAGCGUGCGCAGGCGGUUUGCUAAGACCGAUGUGAAAUCCCCGGGCUCAACCUGGGAACUGCAUUGGUGACUGGCAGGCUAGAGUAUGGCAGAGGGGGGUAGAAUUCCACGUGUAGCAGUGAAAUGCGUAGAGAUGUGGAGGAAUACCGAUGGCGAAGGCAGCCCCCUGGGCCAAUACUGACGCUCAUGCACGAAAGCGUGGGGAGCAAACAGGAUUAGAUACCCUGGUAGUCCACGCCCUAAACGAUGUCAACUAGUUGUGGGGAUCAUUUCCUUAGUAACGUAGCUAGCGCGUGAAGUUGACCGCCUGGGGAGUACGGUCGCAAGAUUAAAACUCAAAUGAAUUGACGGGGUCAUAGCUGUUUCCU